AAGGGGCUCUGGAAAGAAGAUGGAGGCCGUACCUGCAGGAGAAGAUGCCUGGGGACCUGGGAUCUGCGCUGGAGCCUGCAGGAUCCUGAUCAGAGAUGAAUCAUAGCCGGAAGAAAUCAUCAUGGAGCUCGAGAAGAAAAAGGAAAGUGAAGGACGCCGAUUCGAGAAGAUGUCACGUGAUAUAAUGAAGAAGAGUGAACGACGGCACAAAGAUCACAGGAGUGGAGCCGAAACAUUUUCACCAUCUCUUGGGUCCCUCUGAGGUUUAAAAUAUUAACAAACAUAUAAGCAAAUAAUAAAUGAAAUGAGAUAUAAAGACACUUUAAACUGUGGAGGUAUAUUGGCUAUAUGGGCAUCUUUAUAGAUAAACUUAUAAAUUAGACUAAACAG